GUGCUCGCUUUGGCAGCACAUAUACUAAAACUGGAAUGAUAUAGAGAAGAUGAGCUUGGCCCCUGUGCAAGGAUGACACGCAAAUUUUUGAAGCGUUCCAUAUUUUU
ensembl:snRNA U6 U6 spliceosomal RNA